GUUAAAAAGCUCGUAGUUGGAUCUCGGCAAGUAGAGGGCGGUAUGCUUCGUAGCAUUACUGCCCUAUUACUUGUAGUUUUGCCAGAGGUUCCUGGGUGCUCUUAAUCGAGUGUCUAGGGAUGCUGGCAGGUUUACUUUGAAAAAAUUAGAGUGCUCAAAGCAGGCUAUUACGCUUGAAUAUUCGUGCAUGGAAUAAUAGAAUAGGAAGUUGUUUCUAUUUUGUUGGUUUUCGGAAAUCGACUUAAUGAUUAAUAGGGACAGUCGGGGGCAUUUGUAUUCAAACGACAGAGGUGAAAUUCUUGGACCGUUUGAAGACAAACUACUGCGAAAGCAUUUGCCAAGAAUGUUUUCAUUAAUCAAGAACGAAAGUUAGAGGUUCGAAGGCGAUUAGAUACCGCCCUAGUUCUAACCAUAAACGAUGCCAGCUAGCGAUCUGAGGACGUUUUUUUUGUAGACACCUCAGGAAGCUUCCGGGAAACCAAAGCGUGUGGGUUCCGGGGGAAGUAUGGUUGCAAAGCUGAAACUUAAAGGAAUUGACGGAAGGGCACCACCAGGAGUGGAGCCUGCGGCUUAAUUUGACUCAACACGGGAAAUCUCACCAGGCCCGGACACUGGAAGGAUUGACAGAUUGAGAGCUCUUUCU
rnacentral:rRNA from 1 species